CAAUAGCGUAUAUUUAAGUUGUUGCAGUUAAAAAGCUCGUAGUUGGAUUUCGGAUGGGACUUGCCGGUCCGUCGUUUCGAUGUGCACUGGCCAGUCCUAUCUUGUUGUCGGGGACUAGCUCCUGGGCUUCACUGUCCGGGACUAGGAGCUGACGAGGUUACUUUGAGUAAAUUAGAGUGUUCAAAGCAAGCCUACGCUCUGAAUACAUUAGCAUGGAAUAACACGAUAGGACUCUGGCUUAUCUUGUUGGUCUGUGAGACCAGAGUAAUGAUUAAGAGGGACAGUCGGGGGCAUUCGUAUUUCAUUGUCAGAGGUGAAAUUCUUGGAUUUAUGAAAGACGAACUUCUGCGAAGGCAUUUGUCAAGGAUGUUUNCAUUA
rnacentral:rRNA from 1 species